rnacentral:rRNA from 1 species
UACGUAGGGGGCAAGCGUUGUCCGGAAUCAUUGGGCGUAAAGAGCGUGUAGGCGGCCCGGUAAGUCCGCUGUGAAAGUCCAGGGCUCAACCCUGGGAUGCCGGUGGAUACUGUCGGGCUCGAGUCCGGAAGAGGAGUGUGGAAUUCCUGGUGUAGCGGUGAAAUGCGUAGAUAUCGGAAGGAACACCAGUGGCGAAGGCGGGUCUCU